rnacentral:rRNA from 1 species
UACAGAGGCCCCAAGCGUUACUGAGAAUCACUGGGUUUAAAGGGUGCGUAGGUGGCGCGUUAAGUCCGUUGUGAAAUCCCUGGGCUCAACCCAGGAAAUGCUUCGGAUACUGGCGUGCUUGAGGCUAGUAGGGGUCACUGGAACUGACGGUGGAGCGGUGAAAUGCGUAGAUAUCGUCAGGAACGCCAAUGGUGAAGACAGGUGACUGGGCUAGAUCUGACACUGAGGCACGAAAGCGUGGGGAGCGAACAGG